rnacentral:rRNA from 1 species
CCUACGGGAGGCAGCAGUGGGGAAUAUUGCACAAUGGGCGCAAGCCUGAUGCAGCCAUGCCGCGUGUAUGAAGAAGGCCUUCGGGUUGUAAAGUACUUUCAGCGGGGAGGAAGGCGACAGCGUGAAUAGCGUUGUUGAUUGACGUUACCCGCAGAAGAAGCACCGGCUAACUCCGUGCCAGCAGCCGCGGUAAU